AUGUUAUUUCAACAGCCUCUAUAUUAAAAUUGGAACCAUGCAGAAGCUUAGCAUGGCCUCUGCCCAAGCNGAUACAAAGUGUUAAUAUCCAAAAUAUAU
rnacentral:snRNA from 1 species